GCCAUAGCUACCUAAUUCUUAGAAACCAUAAACUAGACCUUCAGUAAAGGGAGAGAAUACUUGGUAAUGAUGGGAAGAGCUAACAUGUAGCUCACAGUGUACAGAGGAACUGUACGUUACAAUUGAUGUCCUCAUUGUCUGUGAGGAUUGGUUCUAGGAACCCCCUCUGAUACAAAAUCUUCACAAUCUCCUGUCCCUUAUAUAAAAUGGUGUAGUAUUUGCAUAUAAUCUAUGUACAACCUCUAUAUACUUUAAAUCAUCUCUAGAUUAUUUAUAAUACCCAAUAUUAUGUAAAUGGUAAUACUAUAUUCGGGAAAUAAUGAUGAGGAAAAGUCUGGGCUUAGUACAGAUGCAGUUUUCCCCCCUAUUUUUAAACUUUUUUUUGGCAGAUCUUGGAUGGAACCUGGACUACAAGUGUGCUAGGCAUAUGCUGGACAUGUGCUCCACCACCAUCUCCAGCCCUGAAUAUUUUUUCGUGUUGAAUUGGUUAUAUGUGUUGUAGAACCCCUGAGAGGACCAACUAUUUCCUACAGCUGCUUGAUGUAGGUAGGUGGCAGUAUCCAGCAGGAAGACCAGGCAUCUGCUAUUUGGAACAUUUCUGUUGGCUCCUACCUGGCUUCUGGUGAGCUUUGGUGGUAUGUCUGCUAUUUAACAAAAAAGUAGGGAUUCAAGAUUUCAGUAACUUGCCUGUGGUCAUCACACCCAUCUGAGGUGGGCAAAGGCAGGCUAUGAGCCUAGCGUGUGUCACUCUGAAGAGUACUGGACAUGUCCUGCUGCUUCCUAGAAUAUCAAAUGGUCAUAAUUGUCAUUAACAUUCUGGGGCAACCAAUAGUUACUGGUUUUUUCCUUUGAGCUUAUUUUAUAUCCUUUUUAGGGAUUCUUGCC
rnacentral:lncRNA from 1 species